UUACAUUUUAGUCAUUUAGCAGACGCUCUUAUCCAGAGCGACUUACAGUAGUGAAUGCAUACAUUUCAUACAAUUUCAUUUUUUUUUUGCUGGCCCCCCGUGGGAAACGAACCCACAACCCUGGCGUUGCAAACACCAUGCUCUACCAACUGAGCUACAGGGAAGGCCACCCCACAACUGGGGAAAGCUAUUUGAAAUGAUGUCAUCUUUAUUCUCCCUCGGCAAUCUCACCUAGUUCUCCCUUAGGGCAGUGCCAUUUCAAACCGUUUUUCCCCCCGACCGGGAAACGUGUGCUCCCUCAACAACAGACAACAGACUGCGGACAGAGUAUUUAUAAAGACACUCACAGUGACUCAAUCUAGCAUGAGCCCACACCAUGAUGUGUCUGAGAUCUCGCUCUGUUGAAGUGUGCUGGAAUGUUCAAGUCAACAUGUAUGAGUUUAUUCAGUUUACAAACCAAGGUUUCUGUAUUAGGAAGGAAUAGAAGGCUUUCCUUUCUUUCAUUGAUCUUUAUAGCCACGCACAGACUGUCGAUAAUGACUGGGCUUUCAUCUCACACACCAGACUUUAAAGCCUGAAAGAGGUUCAACAACAUCUGGAGCACCUGAGCUGAGUGACUUGGAGGGCCAGAGAAAAGUGGUUGAGACGCUCCUGAACUGCGCUGAGUGACUUGGAGGGCCAGAGAAAAGUGGUUGAGACGCUCCUGAACUGCGCUGAGUGACUUGGAGGGCCAGAGAAACGAAGUUGAGACAACAGAGAGGCCCAAAACGUAGAGGCUUGUACUGUGAGUACUGUAACCUCUUGGUUGGACUUUUCCAUUAUGGCUAGUCUGUAUGGUGUAUGUAUGCUAACAUGCUAACGUUGUGGCCUGUCUNNNNNNNNNNNNNNNNNNNNAUAGCGGAAGCUUUUCUGCCAGCUAACACGGAGAAGAAAGACUAGUGUCUGUGUGUAUCAGAAAGCUCCUCUUGCCAGCUAACACUGAGAAGAAAGACUAGUGUCUGUGUGUAUCGGAAAGCUUUUCUGCCAGCUAACACGGAGAAGAAAGACUAGUGUCUGUGUGUAUCGGAAAGCUUUUCUGCCAGCUAACACGGAGAAGAAAGACUAGUGUCUGUGUGUAUCGGAAAGCUUUUCUGCCAGCUAACACGGAGAAGAAAGACUAGUGUCUGUGUGUAUCAGAAAGCUCCUCUUGCC
rnacentral:lncRNA from 8 species